rnacentral:rRNA from 1 species
UGUAGGUAGUAGUGAACCGAAAGGGGAACGAUUCCGAGCAAUCGGAAAGCUUACACAGGUGCUGCAUGGCUGUCGUCAGCUCGUGCCGUGAGGUGUUGGGUUAAGUCCCGCAACGAGCGUAACCCUUAUCCUCUGUUAUCCCGAGUGAUCGGGAGUCUCUGAGGAAACUGCCAGCGAUGAGCUGGAGGAAGGUGGGGAUGACGUCAAGUCCUCAUGGCCCUUAUGUCCAGGGCUACACACGUGCUACAAUGGCCGCUACAGAGGGAAGCAAUACCGUAAGGUGGAGCCAAUCCCUAAAAGCGGUCUCAGUUGGGAUCGGAGUCUGCAACUCGACUCCAUGAACGCGGAAUCGCUAGUAAUCGCGGAUCAGCUACGCCGCGGUGAAUACGUUCCCGGGCCUUGUACACACCGCCCGUCACACCACGAAAGUCUGUUGUACCCAAAGUGGGUGAGCUAACCCGAAAGGGAGGCAGCCUCCUAAGGUAUGGCCGGUAAUUGGGGUGAAGUCGUAACAAGGUAGCCGUAGGGGAACCUGCGGCUGGAUCACCUCCUUUCUAAGGAG